CCUACGGGAGGCAGCAGUGGGGAAUAUUGGGCAAUGGAGGAAACUCUGACCCAGCGACGCCGCGUGCGGGAUGAAGGCCUUCGGGUUGUAAACCGCUUUCAGUAGGGAAGAAGCGAAAGUGACGGUACCUACAAAAGAAGCACCGGCUAACUAUGUGCCAGCAGCCGCGGUAAUACAUAGGGUGCAAGCGUUGUCCGGAAUUAUUGGGCGUAAAGAGCUCGUAGGUCGUUUGUUACGUCGGAUGUGAAAACCUGAGGCUCAACCUCAGGCCUGCAUUCGAUACGGGCAAACUAGAGUUUGGUAGGGGAGACUGGAAUUCCUGGUGUAGCGGUGGAAUGCGCAGAUAUCAGGAGGAACACCAAUGGCGAAGGCAGGUCUCUGGGCCAAUACUGACACUGAGGAGCGAAAGUCUGGGGAGCGAACAGGAUUAGAUACCCUGGUAGUCCAGACCGUAAACGGUGGGCACUAGUUGUGGGAACCUUCCACGGUUUCUGCGACGCAGCUAACGCAUUAAGUGCCCCGCCUGGGGAGUACGAUCGCAAGAUUAAAACUCAAAUGAAUUGACGG
rnacentral:rRNA from 1 species